UGGGGAAUUUUGGACAAUGGGCGAAAGCCUGAUCCAGCAAUGCCGCGUGUGUGAAGAAGGCCUUCGGGUUGUAAAGCACUUUUGUCCGGAAAGAAAUCCUUGGCUCUAAUACAGUCGGGGGAUGACGGUACCGGAAGAAUAAGCACCGGCUAACUACGUGCCAGCAGCCGCGGUAAUACGUAGGGUGCAAGCGUUAAUCGGAAUUACUGGGCGUAAAGCGUGCGCAGGCGGUUUGCUAAGACCGAUGUGAAAUCCCCGGGCUCAACCUGGGAACUGCAUUGGUGACUGGCAGGCUAGAGUAUGGCAGAGGGGGGUAGAAUUCCACGUGUAGCAGUGAAAUGCGUAGAGAUGUGGAGGAAUACCGAUGGCGAAGGCAGCCCCCUGGGCCAAUACUGACGCUCAUGCGCGAAAGCGUGGGGAGCAAACAGGAUUAGAUACCCUGGUAGUCCACGCCCUAAACGAUGUCAACUAGUUGUUGGGGAUUCAUUUCCUUAGUAACGUAGCUAACGCGUGAAGUUGACCGCCUGGGGAGUACGGUCGCAAGAUUAAAACUUAAAGGAAUUGACGGGGUCAUAGCUGUUUCCU
rnacentral:rRNA from 1 species